rnacentral:rRNA from 1 species
UACGUAGGGUGCGAGCGUGUCCGGAAUUAUUGGGCGUAAAGAGCUUUGUAGGCGGUCUGUCGCGUCUGCUGUGAAAAUCCGGGGCUCAACCCCGGACUUGCAGUGGGGUACGGGCAGACUAGAGUGUGGUAGGGGAGACUGGAAUUCCUGGUGUAGCGGUGAAAUGCGCAGAUAUCAGGAGGAACACCGAUGGCGAAGGCAGGUCUCUGGGC